rnacentral:rRNA from 1 species
CAGUAGUCACGAGUUUGAUCCUGGCUCAGAUUGAACGGCUGGGCGGAAUGCUUUACACAUGCAAGUCGAACGGUAGAGGGGGCAACCCUUGAGAGUGGCGAACGGGUGAGUAAUAUAUCGGAACGUGCCCAGUCGUGGGGGAUAACGUAGCGAAAGCUACGCUAAUACCGCAUACGAUCUAUGGAUGAAAGCGGGGGAUCGCAAGACCUCGCGCGAUUGGAGCGGCCGAUAUUAGAUUAGGUAGUUGGUGAGGUAAAGGCUCACCAAGCCGACGAUCCUUAGCUGGUCUGAGAGGAUGAUCAGCCACACUGGGACUGAGACACGGCCCAGACUCCUACGGGAGGCAGCAGUGGGGGAAUAUUGGACAAUGGGCGAAAGCCUGAUCCAGCAAUGCCGCGUGAGUGAUGAAGGCCUUCGGGUUGUAAAGCUCUUUUACUCGGGACGAUAAUGACGGUACCGAGAGAAUAAGCCCCGGCUAACUCCGUG